UUAACCCUUGUGCAGUAUUGCGCCAAAUCCUGGCGUUUUGCUUUGUUACUCAUCAUAUUAUCAUAUAUAAAGCAUAUCAAAAAAUAAGCUAGAGGGCUGAAAAUUGUCAAAAAAUGUCAAAACAUGUUUACCUUCAAAAUGGCACCAUCCACAGUUUCAAAAUUGGUAUUGUCAUUAUUAUAUGUGGGAGGCCUACUUUUUUGUGACGCAGAGAGUAUUACGCCAACUUUCGUCCCCAUUGACUCCCAUUAUAAAUCCCAAUUUCUCAUGUUUUUUGAUGCACUGCCACCUGGUGUGUGAAAGUGCAUUUCCCACGAUUACACAAUUUAUGGCUUCAGCGGGGUGUCAACUGACACGAGAUUGUAACGGAUCCUGGAUGAAUAUCUUAAAAACAAAAAAUCCAGCAGGGGACACUAGACUAUUAUUUAUCAUUUUUCUUGAUUGAUCCCUCAUUGUCAAACGCAUUUACUUACUACCAAAAAAACAAGUUUUCAUGUUGAGCUUUGAUCGAACGGGCCAGUGUGUGGACUCACGAACACUUGUGUGUGAGUGGGUGUGUGCACGCGCGUGCGAGGGUGGGGGUGUGCACGCGCGUAUGUGGGUAUGUGUGUGUGUGUGCGCGCGCACUUUGCCUGUUCAAUGGGACAGUAUGAGUUGACUUUUGUGACGUUUGACUUUAUGACGCGACUGUGGGAGAAAUCGUGUGCGUUUGUACAUGCACGCGCACUCUCACGUCACCGAGCGUGUGCGUAUGUGUGUGCUUGUACUUUUGCGUGCAGAGGUCUGCAGAAGGCGGCUUUGAAUGCACUUCAAAGCACCUUGUCUGCAGGGCGCAAAAAGGUGUUUGAUGUGACACAUUUUGAGAAUUCAAAAUGCAGUUGUUUAUUGAAUCACAACUCUUAUUGGUAGAAUGUUUUACUUUUUCCUCCUCCCAUUGGCUCAGUGAAUGGUCACGUUUGUAAACAACUUUAUAUGGGGUCCAACGGCUCAAAGGCCAUUUUACUCCCUGUGACUGCUGGUGAGCAGAGAUGGCGAGAAUAUUUUUUCUUGAGGAGGCAACAAAAAUGGUGUUGGAGGAGGAAUGUCCCACAGACUCAAUGGAUGAAAAGGAUGAUGUGUCACAAGACUAUGAUGAAGAUUUUGAGCCACUUGUAGGAGAGGAGGAAGAGGAUGAUGAUUAGGAUUUUGAGGAGGUUACAGCAGAAGCAGCAGAGGAGCAACAACAACAGAAUCAGGUCAGCACUCCAUGGCUUGCCAAAAACCAAGAAAUUGUGUGGUCCUCUACAAAUGAAGUUUCGAGGCACUUCAACCUGCCCCCUAUUCUAUUGCCUGGCCCAACGCUUUUUGCAAUUGCCAGGAUCAGUAGCCCCGAGACUACUGUCAAUCUGUUUUGCCCGGACGACAUUAUCCAGCAGAUUGUCUUAAAAAAAAAGCCCAAGAUUAUUUUGGACUACGAUCUGUGUAAAGCGGCAGUCGAUCACUUGGACCAGGCAUCUGCCACAUAUUCUUGCUGCUGGAGGACAUUACGAUGGCCAAUGUCCAUAUCAUAUCAUAUGCUGGAUCUGUCUCUCUUCAAUGCAUUCACCCUCUUUACUCAGGUGGACCCCGCAGUGGUGGCCACGCCACAAAGCCAGAAAUGUGGGCAAUGUGGCCUUUGCAUUAACCGACUACGGGCAUCAAACAUUAGCUGCAAAUGUGGCAUUUUCUUUAGCCAAAAACAUGGCCAAAAAGUGUGCAAAUUGUUUUUUUUUAAAAAAAAGCUCACUGGUUGUUUGUUGUUCUAGUUGAGUUGUUUGUUGUUCUAGUUCAGUAGUUUGUUGUUGUGCGUUUGAGUUAUAUAGAUUCUGUUAAUUCAAAAUUCUUCUAGUUGUUGUGACUUGUUGACUGUUAUUCUGAUGCCAGUGAAUAUUUUUAGUGGUUGAAGGUAAAAAAAAAAAACAAUAUUCAGAAAUGACUUAGUUGUCACACUUCCAAGAGUGACUUUUGGCUCCAAUACUGCAAGAGGGGUAAAAAUUUUCCAUUUCAUUUUCAGAUGUCACUAGUAAAAAAAUAUUCAGAAAUGACUUAGUUACACACCCUCAAGAGGGCGCAAGGCUUCAUCCCCAAUACUGCGAGAGGGGUAAAAAUUUUGAAAUUGCCAUUGUCUAAAAAUGUUGAGUUCCUCAAAUAAAUUUUGAUGUUAUAAUUUA